UGUUUGUUGUUUCGGCCUCUUCCGGCCGCCAUUGUUACCUGAUGUUGUGUUAGGACAGAGACCGCGGAUUUGUGAUCCGUCGUUUAAUUUCUGCUUGUUGUUUCGGCCUCUUCCGGCCGCCAUUGUUACCUGAUGUUGUGUUAGGACAGAGACCUAAAGUUAAUUUAGGUCUAUGGUUAGGACUGAUUUGUUAUCAGCAGUGAGCCAUUAACUAAACCUUGGCACAGAGCAUAGAAAAAAACAUUGGAGACCAGCUGACCAGUCAAGGUAUUUUGGUCAAGUACGCCACGACUGACGGGGAUGCCGGAUGGUACUGGAGCCAAAGGCAUUGAGGAGGCCAUGCAAGCCCCUAUAUCCCAUGUGGAAGGUGGAGAGACUGGCCGACCCAACACAUUUAGGCAAGGCACAGUUCAUGAAGUCUAACAGUGCCAAGUUCAGUGAGUCCAUGUUUCCUGCCCAAACCAGACAGAUGAGAGCACAUUCCCAGAAAAAAAUCCCAGGACCUGAAAGCCCGGAGCAGUCUGAUCUUCAAGGACCUGAUGUAAAAUUACACAAUGGAAACAUGGAAUUAUUACAAAACGUUUAUCCGCUAUGCGUGCUGCUAUAUAUAUCGAAGAAAAUCUUAAUUGGACAACCCAGCCUGCAGAUGAUGAGAUGUUAGUGCUGGAACUACUGAAGAUGAAACUCGGCACCAACACAGUCCAAUCAAUGCGACUCAACACAUCUACCCAACAGAAUGAGGGAUGUCACCAGACGCUGAAUGUUUCCUUGCCAAAGUACCAGAAUUUUGGAAGAAAUGCUGAGGGACGGUUGGACAACACAAUUUAAACGUAAAUAAUACCGCGGGCAAGGCCAAUCAGCAGAAAGUACAACAUCUUGGUGGAACUCUUGAGUAAGGAGGUUCAACAUCACCUGGACGAAAUAAGCUCAGACGAAACUUAAAAGCGCCAGCGUCAGUACAAACCUGAUGUCAAAAAGAGAAAUCUUGAGUUGUUGGUGGAACAGCACAGAGAGCACGCAAACAGGUCGAAGUCUGCCAGGAAGUCUGACUACAGUAAAGGUCAACUUGAUCCAACACUGCAUCAACCCAGGGGAGACAAUCAACCUCAGGACCACAUGUAUUGAGAGAAGAAGAAAAUGACAUUUUAUUUGAGGACUUUUUGAAAUCAAUGAAAAAAAUCCAAAUUCAAGAAAUAUGUAACAAAAUAAAAUAAAAGUUACAUAUAUAUGACUACCUAAAGAGGGAACCUCCAAGUGGUGGUAGUCGGACAAUGUUGUAUCUGUGUAUACGAUAGCUAAUACAAUGUACCCUCAAAAA